AGUGAACGCUGGCGGUAGGCCUAACACAUGCAAGUCGAACGGCAGCACAGUAAGAGCUUGCUCUUACGGGUGGCGAGUGGCGGACGGGUGAGGAAUACAUCGGAAUCUACUUUUUCGUGGGGGAUAACGUAGGGAAACUUACGCUAAUACCGCAUACGACCUACGGGUGAAAGCAGGGGAUCUUCUGACCUUGCGCGAUUGAAUGAGCCGAUGUCGGAUUAGCUAGUUGGCGGGGUAAAGGCCCACCAAGGCGACGAUCCGUAGCUGGUCUGAGAGGAUGGUCAGCCGCCCUGGAACUGAGACACGGUCCAGACUCCUACGGGAGGCAGCAGUGGGGAAUAUUGGACAAUGGGCGCAAGCCUGAUCCAGCCAUACCGCGUGGGUGAAGAAGGCCUUCGGGUUGUAAAGCCCUUUUGUUGGGAAAGAAAAGCAGCAGGUUAAUACCCCGCUGUUCUGACGGUACCCAAAGAAUAAGCACCGGCUAACUUCGUG
rnacentral:rRNA from 1 species